rnacentral:rRNA from 1 species
AUUGAACGCUGGCGGCAGGCCUAACACAUGCAAGUCGAACGAGUGGCGGACGGGUGAGUAAUGUCUGGGAACCUGCCUGAUGGAGGGGGAUAACUACUGGAAACGGUAGCUAAUACCACAUACCCUCAGAUGUGCCCCGAUGGGAUUAGAUUGUUGGUGGGGUAACGGCUCACAAAGGCGACGAGACCUAGCUGGUCUGAGAGGAUGACCAGACACACGGGAACGUAGACCUGGUCCAGACUCCUACGGGAGGCAGCAGUGGGGAAUAUUGCACUAUGGGCGCAAGCCUGGUGCAGCCAUGCCGCGUGUAUGAAGAAGGCCUUCGGGUUGGAAAGUACGUUCAGCGGGGAGGCGUUACCCGCAGAAGAAGCACCGGCUAACUCCGUGCCAGCAGCCGCGGUAAUUC